rnacentral:lncRNA from 1 species
GUGGAUAGGUGGGUGGUGGACAGNAUUUCAAUACAAUAUGAAUGUGUGUGGGUGUCAUGCUGCAAUUGAAGCCUGUCAGUCGCUAGGUCAGCUCACCAGACCAGGAGGUGACAUCAGCAAGUACCCAGGGCCAAAGCCCACACACAGCCCCUCGCUGGUGGCAGGCAGUGUGGCAAGGUAGUGUCUGCAGAGCAGAAGUGCCUCUGUGCUUGGGGGUUGGCUGGCCAGUAGCCAGUCCUCUGGGUCUCUCUGUUAGAAAAGGCUUCUGAGAGCUUGGGCCAGUGGAACCCCGCCAGGCUAAGUUUCCACAAAAAUACAGGUUGCUGGUGUGACCACGGGAACCAGGUCUGCCGGGUGCCAUCGUGCCCCCUGCAUCGGGAGCACUCCCUGGCCCGGAGCUGGUGCUCCCUAGGUGGCUUCUGACCACACACGUGGAGCCCCCAGCUCCUGUCUGUGGACCGCCUCCUGGUCACGCCGCCCAGGCGCCUCCUGCAGGACACGGUGAUGGGUUUGCAGGCGUCUUCCUUGUUAGAGUGACUCCUGGCACGGCAAGUGGCCCUCGGUGCUCCUCCCCAGAGCAAGGACAAUGAGCCAAGAGCCCAGGCUGAAGGAUCUGAUGGGGUCCAGGCCCAGGCAAGGCUGUGCUGCCGAUUACCAGUGCUGGGCGUGGUGGCCGCCACCCACGAGUGUGUUGUCUUUGCUGGGUGACCUGGGCCACCUCCAGAGUCAGCGUGAGCCAGUGCAGGCGCCUCCUCCCCUCCCUCCACUCGGGUGGGCUGCUAGCUCUGUUGAGCAGGACCUCUCCUCCCAGGCUGCCCCAACCAACAAGGGAAGGACUCCUGCCCAAGAAACCCCAGGAACAAGCUCCGGUGCCAACAGGUACGGUGCGGUCACCUGCCCAUCUCUCCCUGCCCACACGCCUGCCCUGCCCUCUUCCAGGCACUGCAUGAAGCAGCACGGAAGGAGGAUUUAAGAGAUGAGGGAUGCUGAGCUGGUGCAGGGACGUGGGGUGCAGUGGGGACGCUGGGUGGGCGCAGGACUUCACAUCACUUGAAGGGCGUGAAUCUCUCUCCCUGAGCCCACGGCACCCCGCCCCCGUUCACAGAGGAACAUGGCCCAGGACAAGAGCCGGUAAGUAGUGGUGGAAGGACCUGCUCCUGUGCUUCCCCUCAGGAACAUGCACAAGCUCUGAUCACCUAGGUAUCCGGGAGGUCACCAGUUUCAUUUCUGAUCCCACCUGGCUGCAGAGGCCAGGAGGGCCUCUGCUGCCCUCCAGCCUCCACCCCCGCUGGCCCAGACCCUGGGUAAACAAAGGCAUCUCACGAAAGUCACCAGGCCCCCGCAAGACCUGGGGGAGCAAAGCCAAGCCAGGUACUUCCCAUCUCGAAACCACCAGAAUCUGACACAGGGCUUGACCCGCAAUCGCUGUUUAGGUUCUGACCAGCUUCCUAAGGAAGGCUUGGGACUGGGAAAAAAUUGGGGAAAACAAAUGAGCCGCCUGGAGCCACGGGGAGCGGCAGAGGGAACAUCUGGAGGGGAGGACGCUCGUCACUCAUAUUCUAACAGCCAGGCUCACCCUGCCUCCUCACUCUCAUGUUUAAUUAAAAAUGGAGGCAUAUUGGCACCGAGUAGAGAAGCUUCUCCCUGCCUCCUCUCUCAGAGAAACCCGGGAAAUGCUGCCUGAGUAGAGUCCGGGAAUGGGGUGGCCGGGGGGACUUCACGCUCUGUGGGCCUCAGGGCUGGGGAGAAGCCCCUGGCAGAUCUCUGGGCUGUGACGUGGGGGGAGCCCUGCUGGAGAGGGCCUGCGGGGACCCUGAGGCUCCACGUCCUGUGUGCCAUGUGUGAGUGUGCGGGCGGGUGGCUGCUCCUGUGUGGGCAUGAACGGACGCACGUGCCAGUGGGGUUGGAGGGACACGUGUGACCGUGCAGGGGUGUGGCAGUGUGCCCUCUUCUGUGUGCUCCAUUCCAGACCCCAGGAAAAUGCUUCCCGCCCACAGGCACGGCCAGGUCCAGGGCCAGGCCUGGCUCCAGGGGGACAGGCUGCCCAGCUGGGUGGCUUCGUCCAAAGAAGCAAACGAAAGGCAGGCUGGCGAGGAUUCUCGGGUGGUGGUCAGGCAUGGUGGAGCCCCGGGGCCGGGGCAGCCUCGGGGUGCUGAGUGCACCUUCCACCUUCUGCCCAGCAAGGUCGGCUUCGCCCCCGCACCAGUCUGGCCCUCGAGCUGGGCUGGCGGGCUCCCUGCUCUGAGGUCGGCAGGCCCACCCAUCUGGGCAGCAUGUGCUUGCAGGAGCAGAUGCACCGGUCAUGGGGACAGGGAGGAGGACGGAUGUGCCCUCACCCCACACUGAGGUCUGAGGGACACCAGAGGGCAAGACCAGGUCCAUCACCACAGUCCCCCAGCUCUGAGCCUGCUGAGAGGGUACUGGGAGCCUCCAGGUAUGUGUGGGAGCAGCUGCACGCCAGAGAGGGUGUUCUCUGUGUGGCCACCAUAGACGGUGCGGCCUCCUCCUCUCCACCCUGGGCAGCAUGAGCCAGAUGGCCGGGCAGUCUGAGGGUCACAGCUGGGCUGUGGCUGCACAGCGGGGCCUGGUCUGUUCUGGGCCCUGGGAGGCCCAGGGACUGGGGACUGCCUGAGCUCUGCUGCUUACGUGUAGAGGGCUGGGACACGGGUCAAGGCCAUUGGACUUCUCGUCAUCACGUCCCGGGUCACCACUAUCACUGAGGUUUUUAACGCUCAGCUCCUCAGAGGAAGGGGCAGGAGGUGCUGGAGAUACAGGGCUCUCUCGCCUGGCCUUGGGGGGCAGUGUCCCCCCUGCCUCCAGUGUCAGCUCUCCCGCAGAUAGCCGUGGCGGUGAGUGGCCUCUGCAGCCUCCCUGAGCACACCCGAGGGCCGGGGGACUGGAGACAGAACAGAGCCUCAAGCUGCCAUGGGUCCAAGGAGGCCCACUAAUGCCGUGCCCCCUGCAAGCUGCCACGGUGCCAGUGCUGUCUCUGCGCCCUCCACAUGACUAGCCACGUGCCUACAGGAGUGGAACUCGGUGGCCGUGUGCCCUGACUCUGGCCUCCCCUGCUCUUCACAAGCACAUCCCAGGGAGCAGUGUGCAGGGCCUGAGCACCCGGUGGGACAUCGAGGAGCUGUCUUCCCCCAGAUCCCUGGCUCAGCUGAGACCCCAGAGUCCCGGCUCCUCUGGAGGGUCACAGGCCUGAGUUGUGCAGGGUGAGCAGGGGCAGGAAGAAGCAGACAGUGUCCAGGACAGAGGCGGCCACUCUAGCCACAGGAGGGGGAGUGGGGGGCCUCACCCAUCCAAGACCAAGACCAACACCCUGCAGACCCCCAGCCCCCUGGGGAGAGGAAAAGUGAGAACUGACACAGCGUCGCAGCCUGGGGCAGGAGCGUGGCCAGCCCACAACAGCCCUGCUUCUCCUGAGCUCACAGUGCCGCACCAAGGACCAGGGGAUACUCAAGGGCCUCUCCCAACCAGGCUUUCCCAGCUGGACCACCGUGGUGCACGAUUCCAGGGGACACCACAGACAUCAUGUCUCAGCAGAUGGCGCCCCCUGGAGGAGAGCAGAGCACAACCGGCCCAGCUCUACAGGGAAGCCUGAGCCUGCUGUCCGCCAGCGCCCGCAGCCCACUCCAGGCGCCUCCCCAACCACCCAAGACGCUAGGUGUGAUCAACAAGUUCCUGAGCAUUCACAAGUACGUGUGCCCACCGCAGUGCUGUUUAUAAAGGUAAACGUGGGAGCCGACCAAAUGUUCCCCAGCAGCUGAAUGGUUACGUGAACAGUGAGUGGUAAGGCUCUGCGAGAGGUGAGCCAGACGCCAUCCGCAAGCGCGAAGCCCCACACAGUCCCCCUACCAAAUGCUGGAGGUUACAGAUGUGCAGAGAAUGUUUGUGAAAUAGGUAUUUCUGUGCAUAAAGCGCACAGAACAGUCUGGCGUUUUUGUGCCAAAUCUGUCAUGACAUCAUCCCUGGGCAAGGAGAUCCGAGAGGGCUUUCCUCUUUCAUUCACCUGUUUUCCAGAAUUUCUGUAAUAAGUAGGAUGGCUUGGGCUGCCUUUUAAGGUUUUCAAAGAAAUCCUUAACUUUAAAAGUCUCCCUAGGACAUCUCUGGAGCCCAGGGAGUCGGGAGGACAGGCCAGCAGGGCCCCCCAGCUUGGACAGUGGGAGCCCUUCCUGUGUGCUUUCCACCCAAGCUUGGUGGAGGGGGGACAGUCUCACCUCCACUCCAUAACAGAGGCCGGGGGAUGUCUAGAAGGACAGUGCUGCCCAAGGCCACGGGCUGCCAAGAGCCAGCCCUGAAUCCCCCUCAGGACCACUCCCUGGCCAGGGCUCCGGGACCCUGGAUCCACGCGGGUUCCCAGGAGGCUGUGAAGGUAGGCGCCCCAGGGAGAGAUAAAUAAGGCAUGGGUGUGGGGUGCCAAUCGUGGGCCACCUGCUCACUAUGCUGCAGGCUUCACCUAAGCUGGCCAGCCACUGUCCUGGGGGUCUGGGGGCAGUGGUCUUCAUGCCGCCUGCUCCGUGAGGCCUGGGUCCUAUCUUCAGCACUCUGCCCCUGAGCCCUGAGAGUCCACUCGAAGUCCCCGGCUGCAAGUGGGCAGGAAAUGCAUGCACACCCCGGAGCUCCCGACUGGACAAGGCUGGACCUCCGUCUGCCCAGCCAGGAAGAGGACUGAACCCUGUCGCUCACAGGCUUCCAGGAUAGGGCCUGAGGGUGUCUGACCACCAGGACACACCCAGGGGACCUAGGAAGCUCCUCUGACCCUGGGUACUGUCUCCCCCGCCCCCGGCCUUGCCUGUUCUCUCCUCAGCCUCCCCGUUGUCUUUCCAACCCAGUGACUCAGAGCAACCCGAGUGGCUGUGGGUGACUUGAGAAGCCAGAUUUUAACAUCUAUUAAAAUUUCAAUAGAUGUCACAGA